rnacentral:rRNA from 1 species
AUGUUCGUGACGGCGGAUCCGGCCGGCGCUGGCGCCGGCGACCGUUUCCGUGGCGGCUGGUCCUUCUGGAAUAUGCAGAGGAACCAGAGCCUCUUGGCCGCCUCGACCUCCACCAACUGGGGCCUCUCAACCUCCACCACGAAGAACGAGGGCUACUCCAUCUGGACCUCCGCGGGCGGCGAGUGGCGUCCCAGGCCCACGGACGCCCACGCCCCGGCGUACUACCACGACCUCGCCGAGUUCUACCUCGAGGCGGCCCGCCGCCUCCCCAUCGCCGACAUCCCGUACCUCGCCGACUGCAUCUCCAUCAGCGGCCUCGCCGUGGGCCUCGCCGACCCCGUCACCAACAUCGUCCUCACCACCAUCAACGCUUUCGCCAAGAGACCGUCCUACGUCCGGCCCCUAAAGCCAGAUGAUGCGCUAGAGAAAAUCAGCAAGAAGACCACCUUCGUCGUCGGCGCUCGCGACUCCCGCACUGGCCUCAUCGACUUCUUGCUGUGCUACUUCCGCAACCUCACAGAGGAUCAGGCCGAGAAAUGCCUCGACAUGGCCGGCCACCACCUCCCCCUCGCCGUCCACCUCAUCGAGGUGGGCCGCUGGGGCUCGGAGGUGGUUCCACUGCUGCAGCCGGAUGCUGCCAGGACCAAGACCGCUUUACAGCAGGCCGCGAACUGCUCCAAUAUCGAUGGCCUCGUGCGGCUCAUGACGUGGAGGUACCCUCGUCACCUCCUCGACCCUGUUCUGGAUGAUUUGCGCGGGGGGGAACAGCUUACCGCCGACUGCAUCUACAAGAUAUGUGACCUGCUGCGCUGUUCGUGGCCGCCGCAGCCAAUCCCUGCCCCAAUUCCUGGCAUUUAUCGGGACAACAGUGGGAACGUCACCACAAUCACCAAGAUCAGAAAAGACGUUUUCGUCACAACCACAGUAUCUAAAGACCAUGUUCCGACAGCCACAAUCACCUCAACUUGUCCGAGCAAUGAUGACUGCACUCAAGACGACGGUGUUCAUAUCUCAACGGAAUUAGCCACAGACAUAUCCUCCAGUGUGAACAGUAGAGUCUGCUUCUGGCGGGAGAACCCUGAUUUCCUCCCACUGUUGAAGAUGUCUUUUCUCGACACCGUGCAUGGCUUCUACAUCGAUGCGCUGGGCAUGCUUCCCAGUCAUGCGUUACGGGACAGCCACCUCCUCCGCGCCGUCCUCACAGCUGGACACUGCUAUGGCCCCUUGGACCCUGUGUCAAACAUCAUACUCAACUCCAUCUGGUACGACGCUGUCUUCCCGCUCUCGGAUGAUGUCUCCAAUCAAAUUGGAGCAGCUGACAUUCUUGAUGCUCGCUCCAUGACCCGUGUUGAAUCUCGUUCGCUCGACGGCUUUGUCGCCUUUGUCUGCUACACCUACUCAAUCUCGGAGCAAGAAGCAGUGGUACUGCUUUGCCAACAUCGCUUCAACCUCUCAUACAUGUUGCAGGGCUCAGAGAAGAUAUUCCUUAACUUGGCUUCUGCGGCACUGGUUGCCAAACACCCACAGCCUGCUGCCUUUGGGGAUUUCCUCAAUUCACUGACCCCAGCUAAACUUGUUCGCUUGCGCUCCCUUAUAUCCGACAGAGGUCUGCGCCAUGUUCUCUCUGAUGAUACAUUGGUGCAGCUAAAGAAGAUGGCGACCAACGCGACAGCAUGCGUUGCAGCAGCAGCAGCAGUGCAAAGUAUGACUCCUGAUCUGGGCCAAUCUGCCUUGAAGACACUGUCCGCUAGGAGGGAGACCUUCAAGUCUGAGCAGGAUUAUGUUCGCACAAAGUUGCAGAAGUUGCUACUUGACUACGGCCACGAUAAGGGACACUUCUACAGGCUUGGUAUUGUUUGUGGAGUGACGACAGCCAGAUAUGGCUUCUACCCAACUUGCUACCAUGUAAACUUUCUGGCGAGCACGGAUGUCCCAAAUGAUUCUACCAGAUCGUGGGCACUCUUCUUUGCCGAAUUCUGGAGCAUAGUUGAUAGUAAAGUUGAGCAGUCAACAAAUGUGCCUUUCUGCUGCCCUGUGAAAGAUUCCAUCAAUGCGUAUUCUAUUCGCUGCAUCAUUUGCGACCGUACUUCAUGUAAGAUUGCACAUCCAUCUUGUGGGAAUGUCUAUUUCACGGGCAACAACGCUCAGUAUGGCUUUCCGGUACACCAUAAGUGGGGGUCUGAUUUAGGUGGAAUGCUCGAAUCCGACUUCAUAUACUUCGAUCAUGAAAAUGAUGACGAGUUUUCAAAGAUUGUAUCAGAGGCGUCUUCUUCUUCAUCCCCUAAGAAGCCCAGAGCCAGAGAGAAGUCUCCUUGGUCCCAGAGGAAUACCAGAGCUAGAACCGGUGCCGGUUUUGGUGGUGCGGUCCCUUUCUGGAAGGUGUAA